rnacentral:rRNA from 1 species
AUGGGGUCGUCCGGUUGCAGCUCUGAGAUAGUUGAGUCCAACGAAGACUUGGAUAAUGCGCCUGUUAGUGGCUCCAGCGUGCUGCAUAUCAAUGUGAAAACUGAGGAGAAAGAUGGAAGACGUCGUGGUCAUCCUGUGGAAGAUGAGCUCGACCAGCUUCUUAAGGCAAUUGAUAGCAGGACUUACCGUCGAGCACUUAGCCCCGGCCAGGCCGGGGCAGAUUCUUUGUCGAAGCAUGCUCAAAAGACACCUAGGUCAGGGUCAUCUCAAAUUGCAGUCACUGGGAUAUGCUCCAAACCUGUCAAUAUGAAGCAGGCACUGAGAAGGCAUUGCAUUUCCCAGGCGUCAGAAAUGGCUGCAAUGAAGAGGUUGUCGAUGUCGCCUGGGUCAUCGAGUUCAUCUGAAGCAGGGACUAUCCACAGGCUUUAUGCCUCCUUGAUGGUUCAGAGUAGUGAUGGAAGCGUUGUGCAUGAUGAUAAAAAGAACUUGAUUGAGAUAUCAAUCACUCCAGAAAAGAUUAGUAAGAAUCUAUCUAGAGGAACAAGUGGCUUUAGUGAAGACUGUGAUUUUGAGACAGCUGAUGGAAGUGCAGUCACCUCCAUCCAUUCUGCAUCUUCUACCUCAACUGAUAUACAAAAGGUCAGGAUCCAAGAUGUCAUCAGUGGUGACCCUGUAGAAAGUGAGAGCUCCAUUGUGCAAAAUGGAAAAACGCAUAAACAAGUUUCUGCGACUACUGAUGAUAGUCCAUCCAGAAUCCCCAUAUUGAUCAAACCCAUCACAACAUCCCGGCUCGUGAAGCCAGUUUUUCGAUGCAAAACCAGCAGUAAGAGUAAAAUGAAAGAAGAACAACCUUCACUUGGUAAUUCCUCCAAUAGUACUAAAUUCUGCUCUUCAAAGGAAUCCAUUUCCCAUGUAUCAACCAGCUCCUCUUCGGCGUCCAGCAUUAGUAAUCCCACCAGCUGUGCAGAAGGGGAGAUAAAUCCAGGACCAGAAAAAUCUGAUGAGAGGUCGUCUGAAUGGUUAACAUUGGAAAAAGGUGAGUGCUCCCAGAAUUCGAAGAGCAGCAUUAGUGAGUAUGGAUGUAGCACUAGUAUCAGCGAUGAGAGCCAAUUUGGCUUAUGUGGCUAUAACAACAGGCCCCAUAUGGUGAAGGAUCUCUGUUGGAUAACCAUUCGCCAGUUGGCGUUGCAACAGGGACCCUUAGGACUCGACAACUUUAGGCUUCUGAAGAGGCUUGGAUGUGGGGAUAUCGGGACUGUGUAUCUUGCAGAAUUGGUUGAUUCAGAUUGCUUGUUUGCUUUGAAGGUUAUGGAUAUCGAGUACCUGAUUAGUAGGAAAAAGAUGCUACGAGCACAGGCUGAGAGAGAGAUACUAGAAAUGCUGGAUCAUCCUUUUCUUCCUACUCUUUAUGCCCAUUUUACGACAGACAAUCUCUCAUGCUUAGUCAUGGAGUACUGUCCGGGUGGUGAUCUGCACGUUCUUCGUCAAAGACAACCCGGUAGAAGCUUCCCAGAGCCAUCUGCGAGGUUUUAUGUUGCAGAAGUUCUCCUUGCGCUGGAAUAUCUUCACAUGCUGGGAGUCAUAUACCGUGAUCUUAAGCCAGAGAAUAUCCUGGUCCGCGAUGAUGGUCACAUCAUGCUAUCAGAUUUUGAUCUCUCGCUAAGGUGCUCUGUUAGCGCCGUGCUCCUCCGGUCAUCCUCGGUAGCAGCGAAUCACCAACCAAAGAAGCUUACAAGCCCUUGUGCAGAGAGCUACUGCAUCAACUCGUCGUGCCUCCAGCCCUCUUGUGCCCAAACGUCUUGUUUCAGGCCACGCCCCUGGGUACCGAAGCCUAGGAAGCCUAAAUCUUCCCUGAAGAGGCUGCCUCAACUUGUUGUAGAGCCUACAGAAGCACGCUCCAAUUCCUUUGUUGGCACACAUGAGUAUCUUGCACCAGAAAUCAUCAAAGGGGAUGGUCACGGGAGUGCUGUUGACUGGUGGACGUUUGGUGUGUUCCUUUAUGAACUUUUGUAUGGUAGGACACCCUUCAGAGGUCCUGGGAAUGAUGAAACAUUGGCAAAUGUUGUUUCCCAGAAUCUCCGGUUCCCGGAUAACCCGGUUGUCAGCAGCAAUGCAAAGGAUCUCAUCAGAGGAUUGCUAGUCAAGGAGCCGGAGAACAGGCUGGGAACGUUGAGAGGAGCAGCUGAAAUCAAGCAGCACCCUUUCUUUGAAGGGUUGAACUGGGCCUUGAUACGAUCUGCUGCCCCACCAGAGACACGGCCUUGCGAUGUCGUGACUCUUGCGACGGUGCGGAAGAAGAAAGAAGGCAAAUGCCUGGACUUUAGGAGCGCCGAGGAGCUGGAGUUUGAAGUUUUCUAG